rnacentral:rRNA from 1 species
CACCAGCCCCUCGAGUGGUGGGGAUGAUUAUUUGGCCUAAAGCGUCCGUAGCCGGCCGGGUAAGUUUCCCGUUAAAUCCAAUGUCUCAAGCAUUGGACUGCGGGAAAUACUGCCUGGCUAGAGAGUGGGAGAGGUGUACGGUAUUCUGGGGGUAGGGGCGAAAUCCUUUGAUCCCCGGAGGACCACCAGUGGCGAAGGCUGUACACUAGAACACGUCUGACGGUCAGGGACGAAAGCUGGGGUAGCGAACCGGAUUAGAUACCCGGGUAGUCCCAGCUGUAAACGAUGCAUGCUAGGUGUUGGGUUGGCCACGAGCCACCCCAGUGCCGCAGGGAAGCCGUUAAGCAUGCCGCCUGGGAAGUACGAUCGCAAGAUUGAAACUUAAAGGAAUUGCGGGGAGCACCACCAGGCGUGAAGCCUGCGGUUU